rnacentral:rRNA from 1 species
UACGUAGGGUGCAAGCGUUAAUCGGAAUUACUGGGCGUAAAGCGCGCGUAGGUGGUUCGUUAAGGUUGGAUGUGAAAUCCCCGGGCUCAACCUGGGAACUGCAUUCAAAACUGUCGAGCUAGAGUAUGGUAGAGGGUGGUGGAAUUUCCUGUGUAGCGGUGAAAUGCGUAGAUAUAGGAAGGAACACCAGUGGCGAAGGCGACCACCUGGACUGAUACUGACACUGAGGUGCGAAAGCGUGGGGAGCAAACAGG